GAUGAACGCUGGCGGCGUGCCUAAUACAUGCAAGUCGAGCGAACGGACGAGAGGCUUGCUUCUCUGAUGUUAGCGGCGGACGGGUGAGUAACACGUGGAUAACCUACCUAUCAGACUGGGAUAACUUCGGGAAACCGGAGCUAAUACCGGAUAAUAUUUUGAACCGCAUGGUUCAAAAGUGAAAGACGGUCUUGCUGUCACUUAUAGAUGGAUCCGCGCUGCAUUAGCUAGUUGGUAAGGUAACGGCUUACCAAGGCAACGAUGCAUAGCCGACCUGAGAGGGUGAUCGGCCACACUGGAACUGAGACACGGUCCAGACUCCUACGGGAGGCAGCAGUAGGGAAUCUUCCGCAAUGGGCGAAAGCCUGACGGAGCAACGCCGCGUGAGUGAUGAAGGUCUUCGGAUCGUAAAACUCUGUUAUUAGGGAAGAACAUAUGUGUAAGUAACUGUGCACAUCUUGACGGUACCUAAUCAGAAAGCCACGGCUAACUACGUG
rnacentral:rRNA from 1 species